rnacentral:tRNA from 1 species
AGGGACAUAGCCCAGUGGUGGGGUAUGUGCUUAGCAUGCACGAGGUCCUGGGUUCAGUUCCCCAGUACUCCCA